rnacentral:rRNA from 1 species
AUUGAACGCUAGCGGGAUGCCUUACACAUGCAAGUCGAACGGAGUGGCGGACGGGUGCGUAAUGGAUCGGAACGUGCCCAGUAGCGGGGGAUAACUACGCGAAAGCGUAGCUAAUACCGCAUACUAUUGGACCGGCCGGUAUGGGAUUAGCUAGCUGGUGGGGUAAGGGCUCACCAAGGCGACGAUCCGUAGCUGGUUUGAGAGGACGACCAGCCACACUGGAACUGAGACACGGCCCAGACUCCUACGGGAGGCAGCAGUGGGGAAUUUUGGACAAGGGGGGAAACCCUGAUCCAGCCAUCCCGCGUGUGCGAAGAAGGCCUUCGGGUUGUAAAGCACUUUUGGCAGGAAAGCGGUACCUGAAGAAUAAGCACCGGCUAACUACGUGCCAGCAGCCGCGGUAAUUC